rnacentral:misc_RNA from 1 species
UGAAAAUCAAUUAUUAUUUUAAUUAAAAUUAUAUUAAUCCCAUGUACAGAUAUAUAUAGUAAAAUUAUAAUUUAUUAAAUUUCUACUAAUUGGCACAAGAAUUUUCCGGAUGGCAAAACCAAAUUACGCUUCUAACUUCUUGGGCAGUGAAAGAAUCCCUAGUUCCCUAUACACAUGCAACGUCGUUUCCUCAUACCCCAGGUAAAAAUCACAGGACGCCGAGAACCUAAGGUGACGUUGAACGGUUGAAGAAAUCCAACCCUAAAGCAAACCACGAGAAAAGUUUUGCGCCGUAGGGACGGACCUUGCCAUUUUCGCAGAAUUUUCCAAGAAAGAUUUGCCAUUGCCCACGCAUGUGCUUAAGCAAAGCCUACUCUGACUUAUGCAAAGUUUAGCCCACUCAUACAAGCUUAGCCCAAUACAAGGAUCCAUACAUAGACAAGCUCAUAACCUAAAAGAAUAGAGGGGAAGAAACAAAGCCCAUAGAAGGCGGUAAACCGAAAAGGAGGACGAACGCA